CGAGAGGGUAGGAGGCGAGGCAGAGCGCAGGGCCUACCCGAGACGCUUAAAGGGACCCGAAAAGCGGACUGUGCAGGGGUGUCUUCGGGCCAUAACUCCUCGCGGGUUUAAAACAGACAGAACGGAUGAGCAAGUCUACUCAUCUAUGAUUUGAAACCACCAGAGGGCGCAAGAGGCCAGCUCAGAAUCUCAGUCCGUUCUGGGUUUUUGUGUGGACGUAAGUUCUCAUCUGAGUAAACAACUAGAAGCGAGAUUACUGGAUCUUAUGGGCUCCAGAAACAACAGAGACUGUGGAAUCUCCACACAGAUGACAGAAGACAAGACUCCCAGGGAGUUGGCAGGGUCUGCACCCUGAGGAGCCAAACGUGGGGUUUUCAGAGCGGCCACCCAUCCCCACCAG
ensembl:lncRNA